rnacentral:rRNA from 1 species
UUACUCGGUACAUCGGUGACAGGUGGUGCAUGGUUGUCGUCAGCUCGUGUCGUGAGAUGUUGGGUUAAGUCCCGCAACGAGCGCAACCCCUAUUGUUAGUUGCCAUCAUUCAGUUGGGCACUCUAGCGAGACUGCCGGUAAUAAACCGGAGGAAGGUGGGAUGACGUCAAAUCAUCAUGCCCCUUAUGACCUGGGCUACACACGUGCUACAAUGGUUGGUACAACGAGUUGCGAGUCGGUGACGGCGAGCUAAUCUCUUAAAGCCAAUCUCAGUUCGGAUUGUAGGCUGCAACUCGCCUACAUGAAGUCGGAAUCGCUAGUAAUCGCGGAUCAGCACGCCGCGGUGAAUACGUUCCCGGGCCUU